GUGAUGUGCUGGCAGCUCACGAGAGGAGGAACCAGAGCCACGCAGUCUCGCUAAGGCGCUCACAGCCUUACUGGGCACGGGUGACAGCACAGUCGUAGGACGCCGCCGUGAAGGGUGGGCUGGCCAAGGGGCUGCCCAGGAAGCAGCCAGGAAGCAGCCAGGAUGUCGCCUCCCAGCCUGGAGAGUCUGCUCUCCCCGGAGCACUGCCAAUCCGGCAGUCAGUGAACGCUGGCGUUGAACUCAAAAUUGAUGUGGUCUCGAUUUUGGGCUGUCUCCUGCAAGCUACGCGCCCCCUGUAUUCCUGUGGGCCAGGAGACUCUGCCUCCAUCUGCCAGCGCGAGUCCUGACAAGUUAAGUCCACAGCUUCCUGUCAGACACUGAGGAUCCAAGCUCGAAAGAACCUGCCCUGAGUCUCUGCGCAGCGCCGUCUGCUUUCUAGUCUGCUGAAAACGAGACUGCACCAUGCCGCCUCCUGACCGUCGUCAGUCGCCUGUUGCUCUUAGGAAUCGCUACCACUCCGCGUGUUCAUUUCGCUGCU